AGUCGUAACAAGGUUUCCGUAGGUGAACCUGCGGAAGGAUCAUUAUCGUACUACAGAGGUGCAAGGGUUGUCGCUGACCUUUCCAAAAGGUCGUGCACGCCCGAGCGCUCUCAAUCCAUUUCACCCCUUGUGCAUCACCGCGCGGGGUCGCUCCCUCUUGGCUCGCUUCGAGAGGGGGAGGCUCGCGUUUUUCACACAUAAACACCCUUCUGGUUUAGAAUGUCAUUCAUUUGCGAUCACACGCAAUCAAUACAACUUUCAACAACGGAUCUCUUGGCUCUCGCAUCGAUGAAGAACGCAGCGAAAUGCGAUACGUAAUGUGAAUUGCAGAAUUCAGUGAAUCAUCGAAUCUUUGAACGCAUCUUGCGCCCCUUGGUAUUCCGAGGGGCACACCCGUUUGAGUGUCGUGAAAUUCUCAAACCUUCUUGGUUUCUCGAUCAAGAUGGCUUUGGACUUUGGAGGCAUUUUGCUGGCUUUGCGAAAAGCCAGCUCCUCUUAAAUACAUUAGUGGGGUCCCCUUUGCCGAUCCCCAGGCGUGAUAAGAUGUUUCUACGUCUCGGGAUUUGCUCUGUUCCUUGGGAACCCGCUUAUAACCGUCUCAUGGGAGACAUCGUUCGAGCAUGCUCGACCCACGAACCUUGACCUCAAAUCGGGUGAGACUACCCGCUGAACUUAAGCAUAUCAAUAAGCGGAGGAAAAGAAACUAACAAGGAUUCCCCUAGUAACUGCGAGUGAAGCGGGAAAAGCUCAAAUUUAAAAUCUGGUGGCCUUUGGUCAUCCGAGUUGUAAUUUAGAGAAGCGUCUUCCGCGCUGGACCAUGCACAAGUCUCCUGGAAUGGAGCGUCAUAGAGGGUGAGAAUCCCGUCUUUGGCAUGGAUGCACCAGGGCUUCUGUGAUGCGCUCUCGAAGAGUCGAGUUGUUUGGGAAUGCAGCUCAAAAUGGGUGGUGAACUCCAUCUAAAGCUAAAUAUUGGCGAGAGACCGAUAGCGAACAAGUACCGUGAGGGAAAGAUGAAAAGCACUUUGGAAAGAGAGUGAAACAGUACGUGAAAUUGUUGAAAGGGAAACGCUUGAAGUCAGUCGCGUCGACCGAGACUCAGCCUCGCCUUGGCUUGGUGUACUUCUCGGGCGACGGGUCAGCAUCAAUUUUGCCCCUCGGAUAAUGACAAGGGAAAGGUAGCACCUUUAUGGGUGUGUUAUAGUCUCCUGUCGCAUGCGAGGGUUGGGAUUGAGGAACUCAGCACGCGCCUUUUGGCGUCGGGGCUUCGGCCUACGUACGUGCUUAGGAUGCUGGCAUAAUGGCUUUAAACGACC
rnacentral:rRNA from 1 species